rnacentral:rRNA from 1 species
UACGGAGGGAGCGAGCGUUAUUCGGAAUUAUUGGGCGUAAAGGGCGCGUAGGCGGCCUGAUAAGUCAAAGGUGAAAUCCCUCGGCUCAACUGAGGAAUUGCCUUUGAAACUGUCAGGCUUGAGGCCGGGAGGGGGUGGCGGAAUUCCCAGUGUAGCGGUGAAAUGCGUAGAUAUUGGGAGGAACACCAGUGGCGAAGGCGGCCACCUGGACCGGUUCUAACGCUGAUGCGCGAAAGCGUGGGGAGCAAACAGG